AACCGUGGUAAUUYUAGAGCUAAUACAUGCUAAAAACCCCGACUUCGGAAGGGGUGUNUUUAUUAGAUUAAAAACCAACGCCCUUCGGGGCUCCUUGGUGAAUCAUAAUAACUUAACGAAUCNCAUGGCCUUGCNCCGGCGAUGGUUCAUUCAAAUUUYUGCCCUAUCAACUUUCGAUGGUAGGAUAGUGGCCUACCAUGGUUUCAACGGGUAACGGGGRAUUAGGGUUCGACUCCGGAGAGGGAGCCUGAGAAACGGYUACCACAUCCAAGGAAGGCAGCAGGCGCGCAAAUUACCCAAUCCCGACACGGGGAGGUAGUGACAAUAAAUACUGAUACAGGGCUCUUUUGGGUCUUGUAAUUGGAAUGAGUACAAUUUAAAUCCCUUAACGAGGAACAAUUGGAGGGCAAGUCUGGUGCCAGCAGCCGCGGUAAUUCCAGCUCCAAUAGCGUAUAUUAAAGUUGUUGCAGUUAAAAAGCUCGUAGUUGAACCUUGGGCCUGGCUGGCCGGUCCGCCUCACCGCGUGCACUGGUYCGGCCGGGCCUUUCCUUCUGGGGAACCGCAUGGCCUUCACUGGCCGUGCCGGGGAACCAGGACUUUUACUUUGAAAAAAUUAGAGUGUUCAAAGCAGGCCUUUGCUCGGAUACAUUAGCAGGAAUAAUAGAAUAGGAC
rnacentral:rRNA from 1 species